rnacentral:rRNA from 1 species
CCCUAUGGGGCGCACCAGGCCGAAGAGCGUAAGCAGAUUGAUGGAAAACCCCAGGGCGAACAUGCCGGUGAAGGUGCUGACCAGUGCCACGACGAUCGCCACGGUGCAGAUGAUCGUGCUGCGGAAACUCUGAAGAAAGAGAUAAACGAUGAGAAUCACCAGGACAAUUGCUUCAAACAGGGUGUGGACCACCUCUUUGAUCGAGAGGCGGACAAAGUCGGUGGUAUCCAGCGAUAUCUGGUAGUCGAGCCCGCUGGGGAAGCGUAAUUUCAUUUCUUCCAGGGUUUUGCGGACGGCUUUCGACACCUCCAGUCCGUUCGCGCCGGGUUGCUGGUAUACGGCGAUAAAUGUGGCGGGGGGGC